UACGGGGGGUGCGAGCGUUGUCCGGAAUCACUGGGCGUAAAGGGCGCGUAGGUGGCCUGAUAAGGGUGUGGUGAAAGCCCGGGGCUCAACCCCGGGUCGGCCGUGCCGACUGUCAGACUAGAGUGCUGUAGGGGCAGGCGGAAUUCCGGGUGUAGCGGUGGAAUGCGUAGAGAUCCGGAGGAAGACCGGUGGCGAAGGCGGCCUGCUGGGCAGAUACUGACACUGAGGCGCGACAGCGUGGGGAGCAAACAGG
rnacentral:rRNA from 1 species